UUAGGAAUUUUGCGCAAUGGGGGAAACCCUGACGCAGCAACGCCGCGUGAGUGAUGAAGGCCUUCGGGUUGUAAAGCUCUUUUAGCAGGGAAGAUAAUGACGGUACCUGCAGAAAAAGCACCGGCUAACUCCGUGCCAGCAGCCGCGGUAAUACGGAGGGUGCAAGCGUUAUUCGGAAUGACUGGGCGUAAAGCGCACGUAGGCGGUUUGCUAAGUCUGAUGUGAAAUCCCUGGACUCAAUCCAGGAAGUGCAUUGGAUACUGGCAGACUAGAGGACAGGAGAGGAGAGCGGAAUUCCAGGUGUAGAGGUGAAAUUCGUAGAUAUCUGGAGGAACAACAGAGGCGAAGGCGGCUCUCUGGACUGUUACUGACGCUGAGGUGCGAAAGCGUGGGGAGCAAA
rnacentral:rRNA from 1 species